GGGUUGUGAGGUUAAGCGACUAAGCGUACACGGUGGAUGCCCUGGCAGUCAGAGGCGAUGAAGGGCGUGCUAAUCUGCGAUAAGCGCCGGUAAGGUGAUAUGAACCGUUAUAACCGGCGAUACCCGAAUGGGGAAACCCAGUGUGACUCGUCACACUAUCAUUAACUGAAUCCAUAGGUUAAUGAGGCGAACCGGGGGAACUGAAACAUCUAAGUACCCCGAGGAAAAGAAAUCAACCGAGAUUCCCCCAGUAGCGGCGAGCGAACGGGGAGGAGCCCAGAGCCUGAAUCAGCAUGUGUGUUAGUGGAAGCGUCUGGAAAGGCGCGCGAUACAGGGUGACAGCCCCGUACACAAAAGCGCAUGUGCUGUGAGCUCGAUGAGUAGGGCGGGACACGUGGUAUCCUGUCUGAAUACGGGGGGACCAUCCUCCAAGGCUAAAUACUCCUGACUGACCGAUAGUGAACCAGUACCGUGAGGGAAAGGCGAAAAGAACCCCGGCGAGGGGAGUGAAAAAGAACCUGAAACCGUGUACGUACAAGCAGUGGGAGCACCCUUUGGGGUGUGACUGCGUACCUUUUGUAUAAUGGGUCAGCGACUUAUAUUCUGUAGCAAGGUUAACCGAAUAGGGGAGCCG
rnacentral:rRNA from 1 species